UUUUCUGAGAGUUUGAUCCUGGCUCAGGAUUAACGCUGGCGGCAUGCCUAAUACAUGCAAGUCGAUCGGAUGUAGCAAUACAUUAGAGGCGAACGGGUG
rnacentral:rRNA from 1 species